GACGAACGCUGGCGGCGUGCCUAAUACAUGCAAGUCGAGCGCAGGAAACUGACGGAACUCUUCGGAGGGAAGGCAGUGGAAUGAGCGGCGGACGGGUGAGUAACACGUAAGGAACCUGCCUCAAGGAUUGGGAUAACUCCGAGAAAUCGGAGCUAAUACCGGAUAGUUCAACGGACCGCAUGGUCCGCUGAUGAAAGGCGCUUCGGCGUCACCUUGAGAUGGCCUUGCGGUGCAUUAGCUAGUUGGUGGGGUAACGGCCCACCAAGGCGACGAUGCAUAGCCGACCUGAGAGGGUGAUCGGCCACACUGGGACUGAGACACGGCCCAGACUCCUACGGGAGGCAGCAGUAGGGAAUCUUCCACAAUGGACGAAAGUCUGAUGGAGCAACGCCGCGUGAGUGAUGAAGGUUUUCGGAUCGUAAAACUCUGUUGUAAGGGAAGAACACGUACGAGAGGAAAUGCUCGUACCUUGACGGUACCUUACGAGAAAGCCACGGCUAACUACGUGCCAGCCGCCGCAGUAACAC
rnacentral:rRNA from 1 species